CUCUCGUUAAAAAGUAUAUAUAAAUUUUUAAAUGGCGAGUCUAACUACGCUUUAGCUGCUUAAUUAAAUAAUUAAAUAGCUUUUGUUCCGGAUUUAGGUUGGUUCAACACCUAAAACUAGGAACAUCAUUAAGUUGAACUAGUUUUAAUUUUUUCCUGGAAAUUAAAAUAAAUUUAAACAGGAUAAGAUAAAUUUUGGUUGUGUUAUAGCUGAAUUUAUUCGAAAAUCAAAUAACACUAAACAUGUAGAAAGUUAUCUAGUUUCUUGUUUGGACCAGGGUUCGAUUCCCUGCAUCUCCACAA
rnacentral:tmRNA from 1 species